rnacentral:rRNA from 1 species
UACGGAGGAUGCAAGCGUUAUCCGGAUUUAUUAGGUAUAAAGGGUGCGUAGGCGGACCUGUUAGUCAGUGGUGAAAUACUACGGCUUAACCGUAGAACUGCCAUUGAUACUGCAGGUCUUGAGUACAGUUGAGGUAGGCGGAAUGUGUGGUGUAGCGGUGAAAUGCUUAGAUAUCACACAGAACACCGAUUGCGAAGGCAGCUUACUAAGUUGUAACUGACGCUGAUGCACGAAAGCAUGGGGAGCAAACAGGAUUAGAUACCCUGGUAGUCCAUGCCGUAAACGAUGAUCACUCGCUGUACGUCCAUUAGGAUGUGUGGCUGAGCUAACGCAUUAAGUGAUCCACCUGGGGAGUACGGCGGCAACGCUG